GACGAACGCUGGCGGCGGGCUUAACACAUGCAAGUCGAACGGAAAGGCCCUGCGUUUGUGGGGUUCCCGAGUGGCGAACGGGGGAGUAACACGAGAGUAACCUGCCCUUGACUUUGGGGUAACUUCAGGAAACUGGGCCUAAUACCGGAUAGCAGCUCCCGCUGCAUUGUGAGGGUUGGAAAGUUUCGGCGGUUGGGGAUGGACUCGCGGAUUAUCAGCUUGCUGGUGGGGUAGUGGAUUGCCAAGGCUUGGACGGGUACCCGGCAUGAGAGGGGGAACGGCGACAUUAGGACUAAGAUAGGGAGCAGACUCCAACGGGGGGCAACGGUGGGGAGUAUUACACAAUCGGAGCAAGUCGGUUGCAGCAACGCCGCGUGCGGGAUGACGGCCUUCGGGUAGUGAACCGCUUUCGGCUAUGACGAAGCGGGAGUGACGGUAAUGAGAAAAGAAGCACCGGCUAACUACGUG
rnacentral:rRNA from 1 species